rnacentral:ncRNA from 1 species
CCAAAGUUAUUUUGCUUAGGUUAAAUAUUUAUUAUUCAAUUAAAUGUAAGUUUUAGCGGUAACAAGUUUCAGCUAUCGAUUGGCUAUUGAUUUAUAUUUACAGUAAUUAGUUUUUUAUAAUUUGGGAGUUCAAGAUACAGGAAAUAAUAAUUAGGAUAGACCUAAUUUGUGCCAGCAGUUGCGGUUACACAAAUUAUCCAUUGUUUAAUUUAUCAGUUUAAGUAAAUUUAUUGAUUAAUAGUUUAGAAUAGAGAUUAUUAGGUGAAAUUUUAUCUUUUUAGCAGUUAUUUAUUAGUGAGGCUUUGAAAAUUUUUUUUAAGACUAGGAUUAGAUACCCUAUUAUGAGGAAUGUUAAAUUUUAGGCUGAAUUAGUAGUAGUUAUGUUCUUGAAAAUUAAAAGUAGUGGCGGUACUUUAGUCUAUUCAGAGGAACCUGCCCUGUAAUCGAUGAUCCACGAUUUUUUUUACUGAUUUAAUUAGUUUAUAUAUCGCCGUGGUUGAAUAUUUUAAAAGAAAUUUUAAUGUUCAAGAUUCUUUUAUAAGGAAAGAAUUCAGGUCAAGAUGUAGCUUAUAUAUCAGAAGAGGUGGGUUACAAUAGUUUUAAUUUCGGAUGGGUUUUUAAUUUGACUCUGAAGAUGGAUUUGAUGGUAAUUUAAGGUAUUUCCUUAUGUGAUUUAAGCUCUAAAGUAUGCACAUAUCGCCCGUCGCUUUCAUUAAAGUGAAAUAAGUCGUAACAUAGUAGGUGUACUGGAAAGUGUAUCUGGAAAGUC